CGGGCGGGAUGUGUUAGCAUGUGUUGUCUCCGUCUUACAAACGUAUUACGAUGUAGUAAAUUUACCUUCAGCAGGGACAACAUGGUGCUGUUGGUUUAAAUAUUAGACAUAUUUCGUACGACGAGUAGGCCAUUGAUGUAGGUGAUAGAAAUUGUGAGAGUAGAAUAUAGAGGGAAAUAUAAUUUGUAUAUCUAUAUGUAACGAAAAACGACUCGGUGUGAAUUUUGGUUGAACAUGAUUUGAAUGGCCGUAAUA